CUACGGGGCGCUGCAGUGGGGAAUAUUGCACAAUGGGCGCAAGCCUGAUGCAGCCAUGCCGCGUGUAUGAAGAAGGCCUUCGGGUUGUAAAGUACUUUCAGCGGGGAGGAAGGGAGUAAAGUUAAUACCUUUGCUCAUUGACGUUACCCGCAGAAGAAGCACCGGCUAACUCCGUGCCAGCAGCCGCGGUAAUACGGAGUGUGCAAGCGUUAAUCGGAAUUACUGGGCGUAAAGCGCACGCAGGCGGUUUGUUAAGUCAGAUGUGAAAUCCCCGGGCUCAACCUGGGAACUGCAUCUGAUACUGGCAAGCUGGAGUCUCGUAGAGGGGGGUAGAAUUCCAGGUGUAGCGGUGAAAUGCGUAGAGAUCUGGAGGAAUACCGGUGGCGAAGGCGGCCCCCUGGACGAAGACUGACGCUCAGGUGCGAAAGCGUGGGGAGCAAACAGGAUUAGAUACCCCCGUAGUC
rnacentral:rRNA from 1 species